AACACGAAAGUGGACGUAUAGGGUGUGACGCCUGCCCGGUGCCGGAAGAUUAAAUGAUGGGGUGCAAGCUCUUGAUUGAAGUCCCGGUAAACGGCGGCCGUAACUAUAACGGUCCUAAGGUAGCGAAAUUCCUUGUCGGGUAAGUUCCGACCUGCACGAAUGGCGUAAUGAUGGGGGCGCUGUCUCCACCCGAGACUCAGUGAAAUCGAAAUCGCAGUGAAGAUGCUGUGUACCCGCGGCUAGACGGAAAGACCCCGUGAACCUUUACUAUAGCUUCACAGUGGACUUUGAACCUGCUUGUGUAGGAUAGCUGGGAGACUUUGAAGCGGUGACGCUAGUCAUCGUGGAGUCGUCCUUGAAAUACCAGCCUGGCAUGUUUGAGGUUCUAACCUAGGUCCAUUAUCUGGAUCGGGGACAUUGUGUGGUGGGUAGUUUGACUGGGGCGGUCUCCUCCCAAAGAGUAACGGAGGAGCACAAAGGUACCCUCAGCACGGUCGGACAUCGUGCAACGAGCGUAAAGGUAGAAGGGUGCUUGACUGCGAGACCUACAAGUCGAGCAGGUGCGAAAGCAGGUCUUAGUGAUCCGGUGGUUCUGUAUGGAAGGGCCAUCGCUCAACGGAUAAAAGGUACUCCGGGGAUAACAGGCUGAUACCGCCCAAGAGUUCAUAUCGACGGCGGUGUUUGGCACCUCGAUGUCGGCUCAUCUCAUCCUGGGGCUGAAGCCGGUCCCAAGGGUAUGGCUGUUCGCCAUUUAAAGAGGUACGCGAGCUGGGUUUAGAACGUCGUGAGACAGUUCGGUCCCUAUCUGCCGUGGGCGUUGGAGAUUUGAGAGGAGCUGCUCCUAGUACGAGAGGACCGGAGUGGACGAACCUCUGGUGUUCCGGUUGUCACGCCAGUGGCAUUGCCGGGUAGCUACGUUCGGACGGGAUAACCGCUGAAAGCAUCUAAGCGGGAAGCCUCCCUCAAGAUGAGAUCUCCCUGGGAACUUGAUUCCCCUGAAGGGCCGUUGAAGACCACAACGUUGAUAGGCUGGGUGUGGAAGCGUUGUAAGGCGUGAAGCUAACCAGUACUAAUUGCCCGUGAGGCUUGACUAUAUAACACCAAAGCAGU
rnacentral:rRNA from 1 species